rnacentral:misc_RNA from 1 species
UACGGAGGGGGUUAGCGUUGUUCGGAAUUACUGGGCGUAAAGCGCGCGUAGGCGGAUAUUUAAGUCGGGGGUGAAAUCCCGGGGCUCAACCCCGGAACUGCCUCCGAUACUGGGUAUCUAGAGUUCGAGAGAGGUGAGUGGAAUUCCGAGUGUAGAGGUGAAAUUCGUAGAUAUUCGGAGGAACACCAGUGGCGAAGGCGGCUCACUGGCUCGAUACUGACGCUGAGGUGCGAAAGUGUGGGGAGCAAACAGG